UGUGGUUCAGUGGUAGAGUGCUUGUCUAGUACUCACGAAGCCCUAGGUUCAAUCCCUAGCA
rnacentral:tRNA from 1 species